CAGCUUAAGAUUUGGGGCUGAAACGAUGGGGUUUUCUAAAUAUAUAAUCAUGUCAUCUGCAAACAGAAACAAUUUGACUUCCUCUCUUUCUAUUCAAAUACUGUUUAUUGCUUUCUCUUGCCUGAUUGCCCUGGCCAGAACUUCCAAUACUAUGUUGAAUAGGAGUGGUGAGAGAGGGCAUCCUUGUCUUGUGCCAGUUUUCAAAGGGAAUGCUUCCAGUUUUUGCCCAUUCAGUAUGAUAUUGGCUGUGGGUUUGUCAUAAAUAGCUCUAAUUAUU
rnacentral:lncRNA from 1 species